rnacentral:lncRNA from 10 species
GCCUCUCUCCACCCUCCGCGAGCCCAGUGUGCUUGCGCUUGCGCUUGCCCCGCACUCAGUCGCCCCCUCCACGAGUGCACACUCCACUCACGCGGGAUGCGCAGGACGCCGACAAGCAGGCGUCCACAGUGGGUCUGCAGGGACGCAUCGCAUGGGCAGGCCUGGUGGGUGUAGGUGUGCAGGAGUUCGUGGACAUGCGUGUGCACGAUCCCGCGUGGAAGGCACGGUGGACAUGCGUGUGCACAAUCCCGCGUGAAAUGCAAAGGUUACGGGGACCCAGCAACCUCACUUCUCUUGGUACUAUCUGAAAGAAAUACACAACUUAGGAGCACACAGAGACCAGGAGGUAAAUGCACGUAGCAGCUUUGUUCCUCAUCACCAAAACCUGGGAAGAGCUCAAAUACCCCUCCAUUCAGAGGGGAACAGGUCAACGGAGGUCGGUUCAUAGAAUGAAAGUUCAGCAGUCAAGAGGAACGCACUCGCCUUCAAAACAUGCUCAGUGAGGCCGGGCGCGGUGGUUUAUGCCUGUAAUCCCAGCACUUUGGGAGGCCCAGGUGGGCGGAUCACUUGAGGUCAGCUCAACAAGAAGACCUUCCUGUCUCUGGGCCUCGGUUUCUCCGGCUGUGAAAUGGAAGGAUAGUUUCUUAGGGUAUAUGGGCAUCACCUCCCCACCUGUGCAGUUCUAAUCCCACCAACCCUGGCUGUUUCUGGAGCUUCCUGCAGGCAAUGGUCUGAGCCAUAGGAGAACUCAAAUGAUGGAAAAUCACAGGUGGGGUGUAGGACUCCCCACACUCCCAUGAACCCCUUCAGGCAUGGAAGGACAGACACCUCAGGAGGGGAUGGCUGGGGUGGGUAGCACAGGUAGGCUUGCAGGGGAAGAGAGGGGAUAUUUGUGUGUCCAAAAUCCUGGCCGGGCACGGUGGCUGACGUCUGUUAUCCCAGCACUUUAGGAGGCCAAGGUGGGCAGAUCACUUGAGGUCAGGGGUUCAAGACCAGCCUGACCAACAAGGUGAAACCCUGUCUCUACUAAAAAUACAAAAAUUAGCCAGAUGUGGUGGCAUGCACCUGUAAUCCCAGCUACUCGGGAGGCUGAGGUGGGAGAAUCACUUGAAGCCGGAGGCGGAGUUUGCGGUGAGCCGAGAUCACACC